rnacentral:rRNA from 1 species
GACGAAGGAUGCAAGCGUUAUCCGGAUUCAUUGGGUUUAAAGGGAGCGUAGGCGGACUUAUAAGUCAGUGGUGAAAUCUUCGAGCUUAACUCGGAAACUGCCAUUGAUACUGUAGGUCUAGAGUACAGUUGCCGUUGGCGGAAUAUGACAUGUAGUGGUGAAAUACUUAGAUAUGUCAUAGAACACCGAUUGCGAAGGCAGCUAACGAAGCUGUAACUGACGCUGAGGCUCGAAAGUGCGGGGAUCAAACAGG